AACGAACGCUGGCGGCGUGCCUAAGACAUGCAAGUCGUGCGGAAAGGCUCCUUCGGGAGUACUCGAGCGGCGCACGGGUGAGUAACACGUGGGUAAUCUACCUGAGGGUCUGGGAUAACCCCGGGAAACUGGGGCUAAUACCGGAUGAGACCACAGCGCCUUCGGGCGCAGCGGUCAAAGAUGGCCUCGCCUUGGAAGCGAUCGCCCAUGGAUGAGCCCCCGUCCCAUUAGCUAGUUGGCGGGGUAACGGCCCACCAAGGCAACGAUGGGUAGCUGGUCUGAGAGGAUGAUCAGCCACACUGGAACUGAGACACGGUCCAGACUCCUACGGGAGGCAGCAGUCGGGAAUUUUGGGCAAUGGGCGAAAGCCUGACCCAGCAACGCCGCGUGAGGGAUGAAGGCCUUCGGGUCGUAAACCUCUGUCGGGAGGGAAGAAAGGUUGCCGAGCGAACAGGUCGGCGGCUUGACGGUACCUCCAAAGGAAGCGCCGGCUAACUCCGUGCCAGCAGCCGCGGUAA
rnacentral:rRNA from 1 species